rnacentral:rRNA from 1 species
CACUCCUGCGGGAGGCAGCAGUGGGGAAUUUUGGACAAUGGGCGAAAGCCUGAUCCAGCAAUGCCGCGUGAGUGAAGAAGGCCUUCGGGUUGUAAAGCUCUUUUGUCAGGGAAGAAACGGUGAAAGCUAAUAUCUUUUGCUAAUGACGGUACCUGAAGAAUAAGCACCGGCUAACUACGUGCCAGCAGCCGCGGUAAUACGUAGGGUGCAAGCGUUAAUCGGAAUUACUGGGCGUAAAGCGUGCGCAGGCGGUUUUGUAAGUCUGAUGUGAAAUCCCCGGGCUCAACCUGGGAAUUGCAUUGGAGACUGCAAGGCUAGAAUCUGGCAGAGGGGGGUAGAAUUCCACGCGUAGCAGUGAAAUGCGUAGAUAUGUGGAGGAACACCGAUGGCGAAGGCAGCCCCCUGGGUCAAGAUUGACGCUCAUGCACGAAAGCGUGGGGAGCAAACAGGAUGAGAUACCCCAGUAGUCCCA